UUUUUUUUUUUUUUUUUUAAACGGUGUCGUUUUGAGUUGUAAACGAUGUCUUUCCUUUAAUUCUUUCUGGGUUCGACAAAAGCUUGGAAUUUAGAUGGAAAUUUGAUCUUGAACAAGAUUUAUGAUUUCAAUGGUCUAAAUUUUAUCAGUUCUGAUACCACAUGUAAGAUAUACAUAUCAUAUAUAUCUCAAUAAUAUUAGCCACAAGUCAGCCAAUUAAUUGAAUCAUCGUAAAUCAAGAACAAUCUAAAUAUUCGUCAACAAACACAUCUAUGGAAAGCUCAUGUACUUAGUGGCCAAAUAAUAUUCUAAUUUUCGCUUGUGUGGAUGUGAAAGGGAGAGUCCUACAUCGGAGAUUUAAUAAACCUUGCAACGACUUUCAAGAAACUUCUCAUUUCUAAUUGGUUUGGGAUAGAACCUCAACAUUUUAUUUUAUAUAUACUAAAGCUCAACGGAUGGGUACUGUUCAUUAACAGUGCCCAUCCGGUUUUAACCCUCAUUUUAUUUAUGGUUUUUGGACUUUGGUGGGCACUGCAGUAAAUUGUCUAUUUUGCCCCUCUUUCAUUUUUGUUUGCAGCUGUUGCUCUCAUUUGAAAGGUGCUUUUUGGUGUUUUUGGUUGAGCUUUGGCCACGUUGUGUUUUAUAGUAAAGAUGUCGGAAGCAUCUUCGACUUUUUCUUUUCCUCUUCUGUUUUCUUUCUGUCAUUCCGUUUCUCUUUAGUUUUCCCGUCUGUCUUUUGAUUUCGGUUCCGAUCGGAUCUUCUCGAAGGUGUUUGGCGUUUUUUCCCCUGUUUUGCACAAACGAAUCGCUCCCGUUCAGGUUUGAGCAUUCUGGUUAGCAGGCCCGCUUAGUUGAAUCAGCUAAGUUUCAUGUCUGACAUCGACGUACUGCUUCCACUGCCUUUGAUUAAGAUUUUUUGGCGAGAGAAUCAAGUUCAAAAUUCAAUUGAGGUUGCAUUUGCAAAGGGAGAAAAACAUCUUAGAUAGUUUUUGUGCUUAUGAAACAUUUGAGGGUAAGAUGCACAUGGUUAUUUAAAUCUGUGGGUUUUGUUUCUUCGAUUUUAAAAUGGAAAAAACUUAACAUUUUUUUUCCUUAGAUUUUAAUUAGAACGUGUUGUAAAGCUUUUUAUGCAUUGCUGUGGUUUAUUGUAAUAAGUUGGCAACUAUGUAUAAGGAGCUAUUAGUUUUGGAUUUACAGAAAUUAGGUGUUCAAUUAGUUGAGAUUAUUUGGUUUCCUUUCAA